CUCAAGCAGAAUAAGCCGGGCUGGGACUAGGCACGUGUGGUGGUUUGUGGAUGGAGAGGAAGAUGACGGGACGGAGUCUGGAAGAAAUUCCCCACCACACUCUCCUCUUGCCGGCGUCCUAUCUGGGGCGGGUCCUUGCAAAGCCCACGUCGACGGAACCCCAUCGUGCAGGGACCUCUCAACAAAGGGGCAUAACUCCGGGACUCGAGGACCCAGAUGUCCCUGGCAGGCAUUCACCUUCCGUCACCUUCCUGAUCACACCAGCAGAGGGGGAAUGGGCCACAGCAGGGCUGCAGCCACGGCCUCCAGACGUUGUCCAGCGUGUCCAGCUGCAGUGGAACGGGGCCGAGCGUCCGGCGGUGCUCCUCCACGGCCUGCCCGACUCUCUCCAUCACCUGAUAGAAUGAGGGCUCCGUGUCCGGCGUGAGGGCGUGGGCCUCGGAAGGGUCUCUUGAGAGGUCGAACAGCAAAGGUGGAUCGUGCCGGGAUACUCCGUGCCCUGAGCACGGGCAGACCGCUUUCCCGUAGCAGGCGCCAGCUCCGUCUGGAUGGAACAUCGGGGUCACGUAGUGGACUUUCCAUACUGCUCCUCCUGCGGCAAGGACAAGAAUCACAGAGGGUUGACAUGGAGAAAUAAGACACAUUGCUGCAGAGCGGCAUGAUUCACAGUCGCCAGGAGGUGGAAACAGCUCAGCUAUCUGUCAGCAGGUGGAUGGAGAAACAGAGUGUGGUCCCUCCAUGCAAUGGAAUAUUACUCGGCCAUGAAAAGGGAUGGAGUGCUGACACAGCCUACAAGGUGGAUGGACCUUGAGCACAUGAUGCUCAGUGAGAGAAGCCAGACACAAAAAGCCACGUAGUGUGUGAUUACAUUCAUAGAAAAUGUCCAGAACAGGUAAAUCCAUGGACAAACAGUGGAUGAGUGGUUGCCAGGAGCUGGGGGCGGGAGGAAUGGGGAGUGAUGGCGAUUGGGUGUGGGGUCUUCUUGGGGGCCAUGUAAAUUUUCCGGAAGUGGACAGAGGUGGUGGUUACACCACAUUGUGAAUCUGCUAAAGGCCACUGAAUGGUGCAGUUGAAAAUGGUGAAUUUUAUGGUACGAGAAUGUUGUGGACUGAAUGUGUGUGUCCCCCUCCCAAAUUCAUGUGUUGAAAUGCUACCCUAUAAUGGGAUGACAUUAGGAGGUGGGGCCUUUGGGAGGUCAUCAGGGUUAGGUAAGGUCAUGAGGGUGGGCUCCCACUGAUGGGAUUAGUGAUCUUGGAGGGUCACAGAAGAGCUUGCUCCCUCUCUGUUCUCCAGCCACGUGAGGACCCAGCGAGCAGGUGGCCGUGUGCAUCCCAGAAAAGAGCCCUCACCCCACUAAAAGAGCCCAGAACCCCACUACGUUGCAUCUCAAUCUUGAACUUCCAGCCUCCAGAAUGGUAAGAAAUAACUGUUGUUGAUAAGGCAUCUGGUCUGUGGUAUUUUGUAAUAGCGCCUGAACUGUUGAUGAGACUGAAUUAUAGCUCCACAAUGCUGUUUACGAAAAAAGAGGGAAUGACUGGUUUGGUAGGUAUUUUCGCUGGAACAACCUCCAGAGUCUGGGAGGACUCCCACUUGAAGGCAGAUGGCACCAGAGCUAGCUCAGCCUCUGCAAGCGACUUUGAAAGGACAGAAGGUGAGACCCGGCAUGUCCCGAUAUGUGCCAGGAGCUGCUGUGCCCUGCAGCUUCUUGUCGCUUUGGGAAGGAGGCCCCCAUUGAACUCAGGUCAUGAACGUCAAGAAUGAGCCAGCCAUAUGGAGACUCAGUCGUCUUAAGAGUGUCCUGGGUGGUGGGAACAGCUUGUGCAAAGGUCCUGAGGUAGGAACUAGCUUAGCUCGUCCUAGAAUGAUGGAGCACAGUUCAGCUGGAGCUUGGAGAUUGAGGGCUCCCAUAGUCAGAGCCGACGUCUCAGAGAUGGGGAGGGGCUAGCUUGUGUCACAAGGAGGAAUUUGGGCUGAUUCUGCUGGGUGGGCAGUGGGCGGUCUCAGGAAGGCUUUCUGCAGGAUGCUAAGUGGACAAUGGAUGUGGGGUGAAGAGUGGACCCGGGAAGACAAGUUCAAGAGGGGUGGAUGGUAGGAAUACACUCCCCAUCUACUUACCUUGAAAGAAAAAGGAAAUAUUUGCCCAAUGACCAAGAGAUGAGAGAUGAGCAGUGGGGUGGCCACUGAGGGUGAACCCCAUUCUCUGUGCCGCUAAGCAGAAAUGGUUGUAGAUUGGGCAAUGAAAGUUUUUAAAAAGAAGUGGGGAAACUUAUAAUAUGCAAUUUUAAAAGCCCAAAAAGGUAACCAUAUAAAUCAUCCCAGAGAAGAAUAAUACUAAAAAGGAUGGAGGGGAAAGGGUGGGAGACCAUAAAAAAAAAAAAAUCACAUCUGGUGACUUCCUCAAAUAAAGGGGAUUCUAUGCGAUGUUCUUUCA
rnacentral:lncRNA from 1 species